rnacentral:misc_RNA from 1 species
UCAACUCAAAGCCGUACUCACCUCGAAUUUCACAAAAAAUAUUAGUCCCCAAGCGAGACUAGCUUAAGCCAAUUUGCUUGUCCUACCCAUGUCCAUUACACCACACUACACGUAUGUUGAUACACGUACACAACUCCAAAUUAACUGAUUAUCGGAGACUACUAUGACGACUGGGUGAAGAAGGAUGGCUAAUCUUGAUCACUUAUGCCGAUUUUGAUACUCGAAAUGCAUCUGGGGUGUCUGAAAACUCUAGAAUUGACUAUAAUAUUGGCCACGUUCUGGGAUGGGCCGCCGGGCAGCCGGAUCUAGCCAAAAACUCAGUCCCAAGUGCUGGUGAGCUAUUAUCAAUCCGAUUGCACAAAGCGAUAUGGACCGUCUGAUGAUUGCUUUUUUCAAACAGCGUCCCAUCGAAGCGGGGCCUGUCCCAUCUAGAAGGUUUUGUUGUCCUAAGUCGAAUGGUGGUCUCAGAUUUUCAAUCCAAAGGUCAGAUCGUCCUAGAUCUGAAUGAAAAGCUUGACAAAUUCGAAAUUUCUCUCCUUCAUAUCUCACUCAUCCGACCUCCA